rnacentral:rRNA from 1 species
AGGACGAACGCUGGCGGCGUGCUUAACACAUGCAAGUCGAGCGGAAAGGCCCUUCGGGGUACUCGAGCGGCGAACGGGUGAGUAACACGUGAGCAACCUGCCCUUAGCUUCGGGAUAGCUCCGGGAAACCGGAAUUAAUACCGAAUAUGACUUUGGCUGACAUCAGCAGAAGUGGAAAGUUUUUCGGCUAGGGAUGGACUCGCGGCCUAUCAGCUUGUUGGUGGGUAACGGCCUACCAAGGCGACGACGGGUA